rnacentral:tRNA from 1 species
CAAANNNUAGCUAAAUAAGUUUAGUGUUUCAUUUACAUUGAAGUGAAUUAUCGUGCAAGUCGGUUUGCUUUGAA